rnacentral:rRNA from 1 species
ACUAACAAGGAUUCCCCUAGUAACUGCGAGUGAAGCGGGAAAAGCUCAAAUUUAAAAUCUGGCGGUCUUUGGCCGUCCGAGUUGUAAUCUAGAGAAGUGUUAUCCGCGCUGGACCGUGUACAAGUCUCCUGGAAUGGAGCGUCAUAGAGGGUGAGAAUCCCGUCUUUGACACGGACUGCCAGGGCUUUGUGAUACGCUCUCAAAGAGUCGAGUUGUUUGGGAAUGCAGCUCAAAAUGGGUGGUAAAUUCCAUCUAAAGCUAAAUAUUGGCGAGAGACCGAUAGCGAACAAGUACCGUGAGGGAAAGAUGAAAAGAACUUUGGAAAGAGAGUUAAACAGUACGUGAAAUUGCUGAAAGGGAAACGCUUGAAGUCAGUCACGUUUUCUGGGAAUCAACCUUGCUUUUGCUGGGCGUACUUUCCAGAUGACGGGUCAGCAUCAAUUUUGACCGUUGGAUAAAGUCUGGAGGAAUGUGGCAUCUUCGGAUGUGUUAUAGCCUCUAGUUGCAUACAACGGUUGGGAUUGAGGAACUCAGCACGCCGCAAGGCCGGGUACUUGUACCACGUUCGUGCUUAGGAUGCUGGCAUAAUGGCUUUAAUCGACCCGUCUUGAAACACGGACCAAGGAGUCUAACAUGCAUGCGAGUAUUUGGGUGGAAAACCCGAGUGCGUAAUGAAAGUGAAAGUUGAGAUCCUUGUCAUGGGGAGCAUCGACGCCCGGACCAGACCUUUUGUGACGGAUCUGCGGUAGAGCAUGUAUGUUGGGACCCGAAAGAUGGUGAACUAUGCCUGAAUAGGGUGAAGCCAGAGGAAACUCUGGUGGAGGCUCGUAGCGAUUCUGACGUGCAAAUCGAUCGUCAAAUUUGGGUAUAGGGGCGAAAGACUAAUCGAACCAUC